UAGGGAAUCUUCCGCAAUGGACGCAAGUCUGACGGAGCAACGCCGCGUGAGUGAAGAAGGAUUUCGGUUCGUAAAACUCUGUUGUUAGAGAAGAACAGCGCAUAGAGUAACUGUUAUGCGUGUGACGGUAUCUAACCAGAAAGCCACGGCUAACUACGUGCCAGCAGCCGCGGUAAUACGUAGGUGGCAAGCGUUGUCCGGAUUUAUUGGGCGUAAAGCGAGCGCAGGCGGUCAAUUAAGUCUGAUGUGAAAGCCCCCGGCUCAACCGGGGAGGGUCAUUGGAAACUGGUUGACUUGAGUGCAGAAGAGGAGAGUGGAAUUCCAUGUGUAGCGGUGAAAUGCGUAGAUAUAUGGAGGAACACCAGUGGCGAAGGCGACUCUCUGGUCUGUCACUGACGCUGAGGAUCGAAAGCGUGGGUAGCAAACAGG
rnacentral:rRNA from 1 species